rnacentral:lncRNA from 1 species
ACAGUCCCCUCUCCUGCUCCUGGUACAGGGUCACACACAGCCCCCUCUCCUGCUCCUGGUACAGGGUCACACACAGUCCCCUCUCCUGCUCCUGGUACAGGGUCACACACAGUCCCCUCUCCUGCUCCUGGUACAGGUCACACAGUCCCCUCCUCCUGCUCCUGGUACAGGGUCACACAGUCCCCUCUCCUGCUCCUGGUACAGGGUCACACAGUCCCCUCUCCUGCUCCUGGUACAGGGUCACACAGUCCCCUCUCCUGCUCCUGGUACAGGUCACACACAGUCCCCUCUCCUGCUCCUGGUACAGGUCACACAGUCCCCUCUCCUGCUCCUGGUACAGGUCACACAGUCACCUCCUCCUGCUCCUGGUACAGGUCACACAGUCCCCUCUCCUGCUCCUGGUACCAGUCACACAGUCCCCUCUCCUGCUCCUGGUACCGGUCACACAGUCCCCUCUCCUGCUCCUGGUACAGGGUCACACAGUCCCCUCUCCUGCUCCUGGUACAGGUCACACAGUCCCCUCUCCUGCUCCCUGGCUGCUGAAUUUUAUACUGAACUUAAGGUCUCCUUUUUUGAAGUCUUCCAAAGAGCACUCCACAUCCACCCAUUUCCCAACAGGCUGGUGGCAAGACCUAAAAAGGACAUGAACUAGAAAAUAAAUCCCCUUGAGUCCACA